rnacentral:rRNA from 1 species
UGAGGAAUUUUGCGCAAUGGCCGCAAGGCUGACGCAGCAACGCCGCGUGGGUGACGAAGGCCUUCGGGUCGUAAAGCCCUGUCAGGUGGGAAGAAUGGCUGGGGGACUAAUAAGCCCGCAGAUUGACGGUACCACCAGAGGAAGCACCGGCUAACUCCGUGCCAGCAGCCGCGGUAAUACGGAGGGUGCAAGCGUUAUUCGGAAUUACUGGGCGUAAAGCGCGUGCAGGCGGGCCGACAAGUCUGAUGUGAAAGCCCCGGGCUCAACCGUGGAAGUGCAUUGGAAACUGUUGGUCUUGAGUUCUGGAGAGGAAGGGGGAAUUCCCGGUGUAGAGGUGAAAUUCGUAGAGAUCGGGAGGAAUACCAGUGGCGAAGGCGCCCUUCUGGACGGCAACUGACGCUGAGACGCGAAAGCGUGGGGAGCAAACA